UUAGGUGUCAGUGGUAGGAGAGCGUUCUAACAGCGGAGAAGCAGUACCGGAAGGAGCUGUGGAGCGGUUAGAAGUGAGAAUGCCGGUGUGAGUAGCGAAAGAUAGGUGAGAAUCCUAUCCAUCGAAAGCCUAAGGUUUCCAGGGGAAGGCUCGUCCGCCCUGGGUAAGUCGGGACCUAAGGUGAGGCCGAAAGGCGUAGCCGAUGGACAACAGGUUGAUAUUCCUGUACCACUUAUUAAACUGAUGGAGUGACGGAGAAGGCUAAGUUGAGCGUGUUAAUGGAUUCACGUGUAAGCAGUGAGGUGGUCAUGUAGGCAAAUCCGCAUGGCAUAACAUUGAGCUGUGAUGCCGAAGCCGUAUGGCGAAGUCAACUGAUGUCACGCUUCCAAGAAAAGCUUCUAGGGUUAAUUUAGUAAGUGCCCGUACCGAUAACCGACACAGGUAGGCGAGGAGAGAAUCCUAAGAUGAGCGAGAGAACUCUUGUUAAGGAACUCGGCAAAAUGACCCCGUAACUUCGGGAGAAGGGGUGCUUGUGAAAGCAAGCCGCAGUGAAUAGGCCCAGGCGACUGUUUAUCAAAAACACAGGUCUCUGCUAAACCGCAAGGUGAUGUAUAGGGGCUGACGCCUGCCCGGUGCUGGAAGGUUAAGAGGAGAGGUUAGCGCAAGCGAAGCUUUGAAUUGAAGCCCCAGUAAACGGCGGCCGUAACGAUAACGGUCCUAAGGUAGCGAAAUUCCUUGUCGGGUAAGUUCCGACCCGCACGAAAGGCGUAACGAUCUGGGCGCUGUCUCAACAAGAGACUCGGUGAAAUCAUAGUACCUGUGAAGAUGCAGGUUACCCGCGACAGGACGGAAAGACUCCGUGGAGCUUUACUGUAGCUUGAUAUUGAGCACUGGUGACACAUGUACAGGAUAGGUAGGAGACGAAGAAGCCAGGACGCCAGUCUUGGUGGAGUCGCUGUUGGGAUACUACCCUUGUGUUACUGGGGUUCUAACCCGUGGCCAUGAUCUGGUCAGGGAACAGUGUCAGGUGGGCAGUUUGACUGGGGCGGUCGCCUCCCAAAGAGUAACGGAGGCGCCCAAAGGUUCCCUCAGAAUGGUUGGAAAUCAUUCGAAGAGUGUAAAGGCAGAAGGGAGCUUGACUGCGAGACCUACAAGUCGAGCAGGGACGAAAGUCGGGCUUAGUGAUCCGGCGGUACCGAAUGGAAGGGCCGUCGCUCAACGGAUGAAAGCUACCCCGGGGAUAACAGGCUGAUCUCCCCCAAGAGUUCACAUCGACGGGGAGGUUUGGCACCUCGAUGUCGGCUCAUCGCAUCCUGGGGCUGUAGUCGGUCCCAAGGGUUGGGCUGUUCGCCCAUUAAAGCGGUACGCGAGCUGGGUUCAGAACGUCGUGAGACAGUUCGGUCCCUAUCCGUCGUGGGCGUAGGAAAUUUGAGAGGAGCUGUCCUUAGUACGAGAGGACCGGGAUGGACACACCGCUGGUGUACCAGUUGUUCUGCCAGGAGCAUAGCUGGGUAGCUACGUGUGGACGGGAUAAACGCUGAAAGCAUCUAAGCGUGAAGCCCCCCUCAAGAUGAGAUUUCCCAUUCGAAAGAAGUAAGAUCCCUUGAAGACGACAAGGUAGAUAGGUCAGAAGUGGAAGUGUGGUGACACAUGGAGCGGACUGAUACUAAUCGAUCGAGGACUUAACC
rnacentral:rRNA from 1 species